GUAAACGGCGGCCGUAACUAUAACGGUCCUAAGGUAGCGAAAUUCCUUGUCGGGUAAGUUCCGACCUGCACGAAUGGUGUAAUGAUCUGGACACUGUCUCAACCGUGAGCUCGGUGAAAUUGUAGUAUCGGUGAAGAUGCCGAUUACCCGCGAUGGGACGAAAAGACCCCGUGAACCUUUACUAUAGCUUAACAUUGAAUUUGGGUAAUUGAUGUGUAGGAUAGGCCGGAGGCUUCGAAGCAGGUACGCCAGUAUUUGUGGAGCCGCUGUUGAAAUACGGCCCUUUGAUUAUUUGAGUUCUAACCCGUGGAUACGGGGACACUGUUUGGUGGGUAGUUUGACUGGGGUGGUCGCCUCCAAAAGCGUAACGGAGGCUUCUAAAGGUGCCCUCACGACGAUUGGUAACCGUCGGCAGAGUGUAAUGGCAUAAGGGCGCUUGACUGGGAGACUAACAAGUCGAUCAGGUAGGAAACUAGAGCAUAGUGAUCCGGUGUUUCUGUAUGGAAAGGACAUCGCUCAAAGGAUAAAAGGUACUCCGGGGAUAACAGGCUGAUCCCUCCCAAGAGCUCAUAUCGACGGAGGGGUUUGGCACCUUGAUGUCGGCUCGUCACAUCCUGGGGCUGGAGAAGGUCCCAAGGGUUCGGCUGUUCGCCGAUUAAAGUGGCACGCGAGCUGGGUUCAGAACGUCGUGAGACAGUUCGGUCUCUAUCUGUUGUGGGCGCAGGAAAUUUGCGGAGAUCCGACACUAGUACGAGAGGACCGUGUUGGACAGACCCCUGGUGCAUCGGUUGUUCCGCCAGGAGCACAGCCGAGUAGCUAAGUCUGGAAGGGAUAAGCGCUGAAAGCAUCUAAGUGCGAAGCCCACUCCAAGAUAAGAUUUCCAUAUAGGGACGUCAAAGACGAUGACGUAGAUAGGCCGCAGGUGUACAGGCAGCAAUGUCACAGCCGAGCGGUACUAAUAGCCCGAAACUUUCGGAA
rnacentral:rRNA from 1 species